UGGGAGUCUCAAGGGAUCCUCAGGAUUUAAACAAGCUGUAAAAAGAUGGUUCACUAUACAUGUGCAGAGCAGGUUCUUCUAGAUCCUGGCCAUUGGUUAUGAAAUGGAGAUGGAAACUGAAGUCAAAGAGCAUAUUUAAGUUUGGAAGAACAGCAUGCAUUGUUAUAGGCAAGUCCUGCUAGGAAGAGAAUAGCGGAACAGCCAUGGGGUCAUCUGCUUACAGCCAGUAGAAGAAAAAGCGUGGAGAAGGCACGCUUACUUCUGCAGCAUGAAGAAGCGACUCCAUGUCACUUCCCACCUUCCAUUGAUUAGAACAUGGCCAUAUCUGGAUGGCAGUAAGACCAGAACAUACCCUGCCUGGGUAGCCACCCCGCAGAGACAAGUUUUCACCAAGGAAGACGAAACACAAAGGUUUGCUUUUGACAGCCGGUUACCACAGACAUCUUUGGCAACUCACUAAGCAGUUCAUGGGGAUACUUCUGUCUGAGAAAUCUUCUCCUUGGUGUCUGAAACCUAUGGCUAAAUUCUCUAUAUCAUUCUGAUCCCUACUGCCACUUUAAGCCAUU